rnacentral:rRNA from 1 species
GACGAACCGUGCGGACGUUAUUCGGAAUCAUUGGGCUUAAAGCGCGUGUAGGCGGAUGGGAACGUCGAUGUUGAAAGCCCCCGGCUCAACCGGGGAACUGGCGUCGAAACGACCCGUCUGGAGGGGCAUAGGGGGAGCUGGAACUUCCGGUGGAGCGGUGAAAUGCGUUGAGAUCGGAAGGAACGCCCGUGGCGAAAGCGAGCUCCUGGAUGUUUUCUGACGCUGAGACGCGAAAGCUAGGGUAGCGAACGGG